rnacentral:rRNA from 1 species
UACGGAGGGUGCAAGCGUUAUCCGGAUUUACUGGGUUUAAAGGGUGCGUAGGUGGAUUUGUAAGUUUGAGGUGAAAUCUCCGAGCUUAACUCGGAAUCUGCCUUGGAUACUAUAAGUCUUGAAUGACGUUGAGGUUAGCGUAAUAUGUCAUGUAGCGGUGAAAUGCUUAGAUAUGACAUAGAACAUCUAUUGCGAAGGCAGCUAACUAAGCGUAUAUUGACGCUGAUGCACGAAAGCGUGGGGAUCAAACAGG